CAAAUUGAUGCUACAACCUGACUGGGGGAUGGCUCGGCUCGAGAGCUGAUGAAGGUCGUGACAAGCUGCGAUAAGCUACGGGGAGGCGCAUGAAUGCCUUGGAUCCGUAGGUCGCCUAAUAGGACCUCCUGACGCAAGUCGUCAUUCCCAGAUAUACAUGGGAAAGGGAACCCACCGAAUUGAAGCAUCUUAGUAGGUGGAGGAAAAGAAAUCAAAGAGAUUCCGUGAUUAGUGGCGAACGAAAACGGAACAGAACAAACCGAAUCCCCUUGGGAAACCUUGGGGAGAUGUGGGGUUUGGAUCGUCUAUUGCCUAAACUCGUGAAGUAGAAGUCGACCUGGAACGGCGCACUACAGAGGGUGAAAGUCCCGUAUACGUAACGAACAUGGCCAAGUGACGAAUCCAGAGUAGCGUGCGUUGGAUAUCGCGCGUGAAUGUGGGAGGCAUAAACUUCCAAUUCUAAAUACUACUCGAGACCGAUAGUUAACAAGUAGAGUGAUCGAAAGCUGAAAAGUAUCCUUGACGGGAUGUGAAAAGUACCUGAAACCAGUUAGGAACAGGCUGAGUGGGCGUGAAAGCGAUGAUAUGAGCAGCGUUCACUCGUGCGUUUCGAAAAAUGCCCCUGGGAGUCUUGAUUAUUGGCGAGGUUAAGCAGUUAAUCUGCGAAGCCGUAGGGAAACCGACAAGUCCGCAGCCCUUCGGGGUGAGGGACGAGAUGUGCUCGUCUGAAGUCAAUAGUGGAGAACCUGAAGCCCGACGAUCUAUGCCUGGCCAGAUUGAAGCCCGAUGAAAAUUGGGUGGAGGAUCGAACAGUUGCUGAUGUGCAAAUCGCUCUGACGAGCUGGGUAUAGGGGUGAAAGUCCAAUCGAGUUGGGCAAUAGCAGGUUCCGCGCGAGACUACUCGUAGGUAGACCUCUGUAGAGACAGAUUACGCUGUAGAGCACUGAUUGGGUGUUUAGGGAGAGCAAUCUCUCGGCAUCCUGCCAAACUCCGAAGGUGUAAUCGUCAAAGACGCAGGGAGUGAGCCACGGUGGGUAAGCUACCGUGACGAAAGGUGAACAAACCAGCCUAGUGUUAAGGUCCCAAAAUUCCAACUAAAUGUUAAAGAUAAACCGUGUCCGUGGUCGAAGACAACUAGAAGGUGGGCUUAGAAGCAGCCACCCUUGAAAGAGUUCGUAACAGAUCACUAGUCAAGCUUGCGGGCCGGGAAAAGGGACGGGACUAAGUUGGAUACCGAUACAUUAGACCAGCGAAAGCUGAUGUGGUAGCGCGGCGACAUGCUCGGACAGAAGCGAGGCUGUGAAGUCUCGUGGACCGUGUAUGUAUGAGAAUCCAGGGAAGAGUAGCAGCAAAGUGUGGUGAGAAUCCGCACCACC
rnacentral:rRNA from 1 species